UGGCAGAACCCCUUUCUGGACUUCACAAAGAUAGAUGCAAAUGAGCCAAGAAAGAUGUGACAGUUUACUUCCCGGAAGCUAAGAAGAAAUUGCCAUACAGAUUCUACCAACCUUUUUCAAGGAAGACCUGGUGAUAUAUUCAUCUCAAGUGACAAGGUUGAUACGAAGCCCAUGUACAUACGUGUAUCCUGCAAUCAAGAGGAAUCAUAUGAGCUUGUUCUGGAGGAGCAAAGAGUCUGUCAAGUCCAGGAUAAAGUGCAUGCAUUGGCUUGUAUGAGCCAUCAGUCAUGAAAAUUCGUGA